rnacentral:tRNA from 1 species
UGGCUCAGAUGGUAAAGCAUCUGUCUGCAAUGCAGGAGACCCAGGUUCGAUCCCUGG